GGAAAACGACACGGGGGCUGGUCCGCCAAGGCGGUUCGGCUGAGAGAAGGAUUCCCUUUAACCGAUAGAACGUGAUUCCAGACAAUGCUGGCGCACGGACGUCGAUUUUCCCGUGCC
rnacentral:ncRNA from 1 species